CCAGCCGUAAACGCUGAAUGCUAGGUGUGGGUGUCGCAGGGCAUCCGUGCCGCAGUUAACGCGUUAAGCAUUCCGCCUGGGGAGUACGAUCGCAAGAUUGAAACUCAAAGGAAUUGACGGGGGCCCGCACAAGCGGUGGAGCACGUGGUUUAAUUCGAUGCAAACCGAAGAACCUUACCUGGGUUUGACAUGUACGUAUUAGGGGCAUGAAAGUGUCUUGACCCUGUUUUCGGAUGGGGAGCGUACACAGGUGC
rnacentral:rRNA from 1 species